rnacentral:rRNA from 1 species
CCACCGCGGUUAUACGAGAGGCCCUAGUUGAUUCACUCGGCGUAAAGAGUGGUUAUGGAGAAUAAAAUACUAAAGCCGAAGGCCCCUUAGGCCGUCAUACGCACCUAGAGGCUCGAAUUAUAGACACGAAAGUAGCUUUACCCCUUCCCACCAGAACCCACGACAGCUGGGACACAAACUGGGAUUAGAUACCCCACUAUGCCCCGCCGUAAACUUAGAUAUUCCAGUACAACAAAUAUCCGCCAGGGGACUACGAGCGCCAGCUUAAAACCCAAAGGACUUGGCGGUGCUUCAGACCCCCCUAGAGGAGCCUGUUCUAGAACCGAUAACCCCCGUUCAACCUCACUACUCCUUGCUUUUCCCGCCUAUAUACCACCGUCGCCAGCUUACCCUGUGAAGGUACUACAGUAAGCAGAAUGAGUAAUACUCAAAACGUCAGGUCGAGGUGUAGCGUACGAAGUAGGAAGAAAUGGGCUACAUUAUCUGAUCCAGAUUAUUCACGGAAGAUUGUCUGAAACGACAAUCCGAAGGUGGAUUUAGCAGUAAAGGGGGAAUAGAGUGCCCCCUUGAAGCCGGCUCUGAAGCGCGCACACACCGCCCGUCACUCUCCCCAACAACCACCCACACCAAGGUAAAUAACACAACACCCGUCACAAGGGGAGGCAAGUCGUAACAUGGUAAGUG